UAAUAACCUUAUUGUGAUAUCUAGUCUGUUGUGUAAUAACCUUAUUGUGAUAUCUAGUCUGUUGUGUAAUAACCUUAUUGUGAUAUCUAGUCUGUUGUGUAAUAACCUUAUUGUGAUAUCUAGUCUGUUGUGUAAUAACCUUAUUGUGAUAUCUAGUCUGUUGUGUAAUAACCUUAUUGUGAUAUCUAGUCUGUUGUGUAAUAACCUUAUUGUGAUAUCUAGUCUGUUGUGUAAUAACCUUAUUGUGAUAUCUAGUCUGUUGUGUAAUAACCUUAUUGUGAUAUCUAGUCUGUUG